rnacentral:rRNA from 1 species
GGGUAACCUACCCUAUGCUGGGGGAUAAGCUCGGGAAACUGAGAAUAAUACCCCAUAGUCCACUACGCCUGGAACGGUGAGUGGAUCAAAGCUCCGGCGGCAUAGGAUGGGCCUGCGGCGUAUCAGGUUGUAGGGGGUGUAACGUACCCUCUAGCCAUCCACGCGUACGGGUGUUGGGAGACAUUGCCCGGAGAUGGAUUCUGAGACACGAAUCCAGACCCUACGGGGUGCAGCAGGCGCGAAAACUUGGCAAUGCGAGAAAUCGUGACCAGGGAACUCCAAGUGGCAGGGGUAAGACCGGUGCUUUUUCCGACUCUAAAUAGGUCGGCGAAUAAGGGGUGGGUAAGGACGGUGCCAGCCGCCGCGGUAAUACCGGCGCCUCAAGUGGUAGUCGCUUUUAUUGGGCCUAAAACGUCCGUAGCCGGUCUGGUACAUUCGUGGGUAAAUCAACUCGCUUAACGAGUUGAAUUCUGCGAGGACGGCCAGACUUGGGACCGGGAGAGGUGUGGGGUACUCUCAGGGUAGGGGUAAAAUCCUGUCAUCCUGAGAGGACCACCUGUUGCGAAGGCUCCACACUAGAACGGAUCCGACGGUCAGGGACGAAGCCUAGGGGCACGAACCGGAUUAGAUACCCGGGUAGUCCUAGGUGUAAACGCUGUGGACUUGAUGUUGGGGACGCUCCGAGCGUUCUCAGUGUC